rnacentral:lncRNA from 1 species
GUUAUGGGACGUCCUUCAUGGUAUGGUCAUGACCAAAGUAUUUUCCAUAAGAUAGUGGUAUAUGAUUACAACAAGAUGUUGUGAAUCAGUCUAAGGCAGUUUAUGUUUACGGUUGAGUGGUCUGGGAACAAGGCAGUCCACUAAAGCUUGGUCGCUUAGGGAUUUGCAUGAGUCUACUAGGACUCAACAGAGAUAAGCAUUUCUCCUUAAGGAUCCAUAUGGGAUCGGAUAAGGGCUCGACCAGUAUGGCGAGUGACCUAGCGGAUGGACCAAGGUGGUAUGCAAUCGAGUCCAGAGAUGGACCAGGGUUGGCUUACCUAAACGAGUUCAUAUCUGCUAGGGCCCUCAAGCAGAAAUGCUUGGUCUGGAACCUAGAAUUGUCUAGGGGAUUCUGAUGAGGGGUCUCUGAUAGGAACCCUCAUGGUCGGUGGGGUAAAAACCCAUACUUUCCGACGCAGGGGCUACACAUAGGUUUUGCGAGUCUGGGACUGGUCGGAAAGGGUCUGUUAUGUCUGUACGCUGGUGAUAAUUUUGGGAUAGUGAGGGCAGCCGGUGGGCAAGCCAGGAACUCACAUGUCUCAUGUCGAAUAUCCCAGUGCAGAUCCAGUGAAAGGUCUUCCCUGUGAAUCUGGUAUGUGUCCACCUAAAGAAUCAAGAAGUGAUCUUAGGUAUGGACUGGUUGGGAAAGUAUUGGGCCACUCUCGAUUGCCAUAAGGGUCGUGUGCAAUUGGAAACUGGGCUGUACCCGGUAGAGUACCAAGGUCUGUGUCAGGCUC